rnacentral:rRNA from 2 species
UGAGGAAUAUUGGUCAAUGGGCGGAAGCCUGAACCAGCCAAGUAGCGUGAAGGAUUACAGCCCUACGGGUUUUAAACUUCUUUUAUAUAAGAGUAAUGUGCACUACGUGUAGUGUAUUGCAAGUAUUAUAUGAAUAAGCAUCGGCUAACUCCGUGCCAGCAGCCGCGGUAAUACGGAGGAUGCGAGCGUUAUCCGGAUUUAUUGGGUUUAAAGGGAGCGUAGGCGGGAUAUUAAGUCAGUCGUCAAAGCCUGUGGCUCAACCACAGCCCGCGAUUGAUACUGGUAACCUUGAGUGCGGAUGAGGUGGAUGGAAUUCGUGGUGUAGCGGUGAAAUGCUUAGAUAUCACGAAGAACUCCGAUUGCGAAGGCAGUUCACUGGGCCGCAACUGACGCUGAAGCUCGAAAGUGCGGGUAUCAAACAGG